rnacentral:misc_RNA from 1 species
UAGAAAAUCCAAUUUUUAAUAAAGUAUUAAUAAAAUAUUUUGAAAUAAAUGACAAAAAAAUCUAAAAAUAUUAAUUAUGGGUUAUUUCUAUAACUUUCCACUUUCAUUUCCUAAACCCAUCCUAAGUGACUGAUCUGUCAAGAAUUUCUUUUGAGUUGUUUGUAUGUAAAAGAAAAUUUUAAAGGUAGCUAAGACGUAGACAACAGUGGUGGAAAGGAGCCCGAUGACUUCUUGCAAGUGAUGAGAGAGACACCAAGUUUGAAACGUCAAAGUGAACCAGUUUGCAAGUGAUUGCUAAUGACUAAUGUAAAGCUAGGGCUACCCCUCCCAGCGGAUAGUUGAAUUGAAGUAUGGUUCUAUUGUUUAAGAAUAAAAAUUAGAAACUGUUUCCCAGUGAAAUUGAUUUGAAUCAAUUUAUACGUGUCAAAAACACGUAUGGCCUUUCUUGACUUGUGAACUGGAUUGCAGGCAUGUCAAAGACGCGUAUGAUCCCAAUGUAAAAUAAAUGUGCUCUAGUCUAACUUCUGAACAGGACAAUUAAUGAGAAAGAAAGGACCUAAUCUUCCCUUGGGUUUCCUAACUCCACUAGGAUGCUCUUUGUUAGGAUCUCUAUUUGUUCAGCUUUUGUAAAAUUGGAAAAGGACUUGAUUGCUUAAGAGAAUAUGAAAGGGAGCUUGUACAUUAAAAAGUAAAAUUGAUUGAGUCCCAUUUACUUUAUUAACUUUAUAUCACUAGCAAAGGUGAUAUUGUGUGAAUUCAUCAUAUUGUUUAGAGAUUUAUAGUUUAGGUUAAAUGAUUAAGCCGCUUAUUGUGUAAUUAUUAUCUAGAAUUGGUAAUGUUUCU